AUGUAAAUAAAGUGGCCGGGUAUUCUGAAGUUGCUCCCACCUUGCUUGACCCCAAAAUUUUGUAUAAGCAUUGUCUUCAGUUUCUCUUGGGAUGACUGUAAUACCCAGAAUAAAUGGGAAGAACGGUUAUGCAACAUUUUGGGGGCAAACAAGGUGUAUCAUGCGGGAUGUGGAAAUGGCGAUUCUUCACGCCGCCCGACCUCCGCCAUAUUGGUUCUAGCCCGCAAUGCAAACUGCUAAUCACGAAAAACCCGCGAACUUGUGGUCACGGUCGAGGGAGACUGGCACUAGUAUUUUACGGGAUUGCUUUCGCUAGAUUCGUUACACAUUUCCUUUUGCGCGGUUUUCCAAAUUUUAAGGAAGAAAAGUGCGACCCCUUCUCAGUUGGUGGAAUAUUCCUUAGUCAGUAGGGUAUCAGGUUUAACAGCAAUGACGCUGAAGGAGAAGUGGAGCAUAGGUCCAUGAAAGCUGCAGGCCAUCUUGUUCUGUCUCAUCUUGAGCCACCUUAUCAAUCUACCUCCAGGUGUAGCCUGCCUUGCCCACCAGUCAUCAUCUGCUAGUCUCCUCCAGCCGUUCUUGGGAUGGUCUUGGAUCCUCUUCUCCUGGUAAGCCUUUUAUACAAAGUGAAAAUGGCUAGCUAAACAUAUUCCCUUAAAGGAAACCUUUGAAGCCAAACUUAAAGCUUGUUUGUGGUGCCAUGCUUAACUGUGGUUUCUGAGGAUGAAGCAUUUACUAGGAAUAUUGCUACUCCCCAUGGAUGGAAUGCUAAUCUAUUGCAGCUUAUUCCCCAGCAUUCUGUCAAGUUGCCCCAACAACUUGCCACUAUUCAUUUAAUAUUCUCUUGAGCGGAGAAAGGAGCAACUAAAAACUGAAAACAAUUUUAUUAACUGUUUUGCAAAAGAAUACUCAGAAUUCCUUACUUCAUGUGGAAAGAGAGCUCUUGUAAAGAGUUCAUCUUCAAGACACUGUGAUUAAGCAUUCUUUUGUGUUCUUUUCCCUCUUAAGUGAAUAGCUAUAUGAAGUUUCUCAUCUCCAGGAACAAUUUUGAUAUUAUGGAGUCUCUCCAGAUCUAGCCAUUGAAGUGUAGCUGCUGGAACACUGCCUAUUCACUUAAACACAAAGCUGCUCAAACAAGAGGAAUAUUAUUUAGUAAGUUUUAAAAGAAAUAUACUGCAAGAAGCACUGCAUAUCAAGAACAAUUGUGUUUUCUGCUCUUUGUAAUGAUUGGCGUACAUCUGAUAGAAUUAAGUAAAUGAUUCCUACAGUAACAUUUGGUCCCUUUGCCUUGAUUAGCGUACGAAUGAUGUACCAAUGUAAAUUUUGAGAAUUUGGAAAUUCAACAAGGCAAUUAGAUCUAUAGAUUCAUGCUCUCUAAAACUGAUCUUUUGAUCCUUUGAAAUGCCUAAAUCUCUUUUUUUUUCACAAUAUGCAAGUUCUAUUGAGCAGGUAAGUAUAUGUAGUGUCAGAAGAAUUAUUUUUGUACUAUAAAAUUCCCUAUCUUUAACAUAGCUACACCUUACAAAAGUUUGUGUCAUUGAAAUACCCUAUAAAGUCCUUACCUCCUGUAAAAAAGGCAGCUGUUUUAAAGCUACAAAGCACUGCAAAGUAUCAUUUCACGAUGGUCAUUUCAGAUAGACGGGGUUAUGUAUGUGUGACUUACUUGGUCUUGCUCUCAUUUCCAAGGACAAACUGAGUACACAGCUGGACAUUAAGGAAUGUUGACAUUAUGCAAUCCCCUCUAGUAGUACAGAUGUUGAUAUUAAGCUGAACUUCUCUCUACUCAAGAUAUAGGUUUAUGGAUCAAUCCCGAUCAGCUUCUUUUGAAAGCCUCUUUUCCAAGCAGACAGGGCAUUUAGGAACUGAAUGACAGGUGGAUCCCAGCAAGAAAUGUCGAUAUCAUGGAGGUCCUUCAUGAAGUGACUGGCCGGUUUGAGCACCACCCUAACAAUUCACCUGAAUACAAAACUGCUUGAGAUGGAGGAACAUUAGUAGGUUUCCCUCUGCCUUUCAACAGCAAGUUCAAAACCCAACUGAUAAUUAUAAUUUUUCUGUUUUUAACUGCAUCAGUCAUAAUAAAUUACAUUGAAACUGCUUCAAAAUAAAAACAUUAAAAAAUCAUACACUACAAGUAAUUUUCCCUAAUGGCUCAUGCACUGUUCUUAGUUCUGAGAUUUUGGUUCUCCAUCAAGAUAAUAUCCUCUCAUUUAUUGCAGUUCUUUGCUAAAAUGUAUGUAUGUUCCAUGAAUUUGUCCCCCAGCAUCAAGCUUUAAUGUCCCUGUUCAUACCUUUGUUGUAAACUUCUCAAGACUGCUUUGUUGUUGACUGUGCUAAUUCGUACUUACUCUUGAUCCAUCUGUCCUUUUCUUUCCUGUUAUUCUAGCAGCAGCAGCAUAUGAAAGGCAUCUGUCAGGUUUGUGUGAUUGUCUGCAACAGCUGGUCUGUUUAUAUUGGUAUGUUUGUUUGGUUUCAAGAGAUGACUUGGUGUGGCAGUUAGGGAUGAAUUCUUCUAAGAAACUAACCACAUUACAAGAAGUUAGUAGUUGUGAGAAAAGUUAAACAUACAACGUACCUUCGUAUUAAGAUGAUCCAAAGAGUGUUCAGUGGUGACAGUCAUAAUCCUGAAACAAAACACACCUGCCAAAAUCAGGUGAUUCCAGAGAGCUUCCUUUUAAGGAUGUCCCCGAAAAUGGACGAGUUUUGAUUUUGAUGAUUUUAGUAAAUAAUACAUGAAGUGAUUGAUUUGAAACAGAAGUUUGCCCCCGAAAGUGGGCUCAUUUAAACAAAACUCAUGUCCCUGAAAAAUGGACACUUUGAUUUUUUUGUUAUUUAAGGCAGAAGUUUAUGCUGCUGAAAGUUCACUUAAUGUUAAUAUAAAAUUAAUAAUGUAGCUGUAGCUAUACUAACUGGUUUAGGAAAAAAGCACACUGACACUCAUGUUUGGUAGUUUUAUUAUAUGCAGUAUGUAUUAUAUAAUUAUUUUAUUUAAGUUACAUUACAAUUUUACAAUGUUACUCUCAGUGAUUUCUUCCUGUGUUUGCCAUGCUUUUUGCUCCCGAAAAUGAGCAGUGCACACGAACCAUGAGUACUAUGCUUUUUACAAUAACAACAAUAUCUUUACAGUGCAAAAAUCCACAGGACCUAAAUUAAUCCAUGAGGGGAAGCGCUCCUUAAGGUGAAUAAUUUAGCAUCCAGAGAAAGCCAAGAGUGUUCCAGUGUCAGUAAAGUCAACACUUUAUUUAGAACACCCAGGGCCCCUGAAUGGACUUCGCAUUUGUCUGUCAGCUUUGGCUUGCUAACAAGACAAUGUCGUUACCAAGCCUUCACAUGUUUGCAGCUGGAUUAUUUACCAGCACAAAAACCGAAAACCGAAAGCCGAACCAAAUAGCUAAUACAAAUGUUAAAUUUAAAUUAACUAGUAAAUUAAAAGCAACUGUAUGUUAUAUUACACUGGAAGACAACACCUGUUUCAAACCUCACUUUCGUCUGCAUCAUAUAUUUUUUUAAAGCAGGAUAGUUCAAACAAUCCACAAUGUUGCCAAAUAAGGUGACUAAGAUGAAAAUUGGACACUGAUGUCAUCCUGCAUUGCAACAUAACAUACAGGAUUGCUCUCUCUCAACGUACCUCACGCCAGGUUGUGGAAACCUAGCUUGUAUAUCAUUGCUCAGACCUUCAGCCAUUGGAUAUUACUGCUGCUUCAACAUAACUGCUGCCAGAGAAAUGCUUCAAUGACAAGACAAGCAUACAAUGGGAGCAACCAAAAGGUACUAAUAACAUCAUAUGUUGGUCUCAUCCAGUGGUUUCCUUUAACCAUAAAUCUCAGGUGUGUCCAUCCCUUUUGAUGAGAUAACCUUGCAAUCUAUCUUGAUGCUGUGUGAUAUCUUUCAAUACUUGAUGAUCCUGUGAGAGGUCAGUUCUCAGUCUACUAAUUCAGUCCUGACUGAAAGCAAUCUCUUAUUAGCCUUCAUAAUUUGGAGUUGGGCAUGAGGUUGAUGACAUCACUCUUGAUGACAUCACCCUAUAGAAAUGAAUUUGUCUUCGAAACAACUGCGAGAAGUGAAUACCAAUAACAAAAUCAAAGGCUAGAACUGCAUUCUGGAAUAUAAGUACUCUCUAGCACUGGUAGAUCUACAAAUCUAUAGGUCACAAGUUAGGUCAUUAGUUCACGGAGAAUGUAGGCCAUGAAAUAUUGCUGUGUUGGGUUACUGAUUACAUAAGAAGAAGAUAAGCAUUCACCUCAGUGACAGGUAUCAGUAUUGAGAUAUCUAUUCCUAAGUAGAAACGAAUUAGAAGUUGAUCCAAACAAGACUUUUCAGAAAGAUGACUGCAAUCUAGUGAUGCACAACAGCAACAACAAAUGUCAUUCACCCUGAGCAGGUUUAGGUAUUUUCUAAAUGCCACAGUGGAAACUCAGAGAAUUGAGGGCAAGAUGUUGUAAAGGAAUCAUCAUGAGUAAAAUGUCCAUCAAGUGUGAUCCUUCAAAAUGGUUCCUGUACAAUGUAGGUAUCAAAUCUAUGGCAAGACCAGUUCAGUAAAUUUAUCUGGUUUUGAGCAGUAGAAUAGGAUACUCCCAGAGUCCCACAGUUGCUGUUCUUAAUGGCCAGUGAAACCUUGUGUUAUGGGCCAGUGAGAAGUUGGUAAUAUUUGUAUUGACGUCCCAUGAUGUUGUGUAGUACUCUGACUGGUUUGCAGUUCUAGCUCAGAUGUAAAUAAUUCCUGGUGUAAAUUAGUAUUAAUUGCUGCAUAGACCUGAAGAGUCUGUAAGCCAGAGCCAAUCCCAAUCGAGGAUCCUCGAUUGAAAGUGUAUUUUAAGAAUUGAUCAAUAGUAAAAGGGAGUCAUGGGAAGACAUGGUUAAGGUAGUAUAACAAAUAAUGGUUUUGCUGGUAAUCUUUCGCAGCAUCAAUAACCUACUCAUCAGUGGUAUGUACUGAUCCAUGCCUGCAAGGACAUGCACAAGUUUUCUGCAGCCACCCUAAUAAAACAGAAAGGUUGAGACUCAAACUAAUCAUCCUCCAAAUAAAGCAGAAUAGAAGUAUAAUUUACAGUAUGUUUGUCAUCCAACAUUUGAAUAAUUAUAAGAAGGGGGCUCAGUGAUUCAAUUCACCAUGACACUAUCACUCUUUAUACAGGUUUCUGUAUUUAAAGAGAUGCUGAUGUACUGCUUGAACUAUUAAGGUUCAACCAAGUCUUCUUCUAAAGGAAUUGCAAAUUCUCUGAAAUUAAUAUUAUCAGCUGAAACUGGUUAACACAGCAUCCAUGAUGUUUAAGUUGACCAUUAGAGGUCAAAAUAUAUUGGGAAUCUAGCUUAGGCAGACGCUACUACCAGUAACUCACUGGUUGCAGGCAGCAAUUACAUUGACAUCUCUAUCUGGCCCCAGUAAGGUGCAUUACUGACAACUGAGAAAAAGAAAGAACUUGAACCAAGUAUCAUUUAGGAGAAUCCUUUAUCAUGGAGGCUGUAGAUGAAUCAGCUGAUAUCGAACAUGCUGAUGAAGCUGUGGACUUUGACAUUCAUCAACCCUUGAAGAUGUCAGUCAGGUCAUAAGUGGAUGAAGUGUCACUCGCUGGCUGGCUGCAUAAAAUGUUUCUCAUAAUGUUUCUCAUACACGAGAGUGGGGUGAGGCAGUAACAGAUAUCAAAAGAGGGGGGGAGGGGUUGAUUAUAUCAAUCUCGAAAAAGCCAUAUAUGCAGCAGGGUCGUACCUUUGUGCCAUUAUGAGGUAAAACCUGCUUUUGAUUAAGUCCUGUAGAACGAUGAAGCCACUAAUGAGUAUCAAGAGAGUCUAGGAAGGCAUAGUUGAGAUGACUGUCAGAAGUAGUUUUGUGCACUCAUGAAUAAUCUUGCCAUGAUGUGUACUGUUCACAUAUGCACAAAUCCAAAAUUCCUAUAUCAUGAUAACACGCACAUUGACUGGCUUCCUGGGCAUUAAUAGGAAAAAAUAAGAGAUGUUUCUUGCGACAUUUGCAUUUGAGAAGAAGAGUCAGGGUGAGAGGUUCUUGACAAUCAGCUUGUCACAGCUAUGGCUGUACCAAAGAAACACUGACAUAAUAAGGGGCAGUGCAUCGUGAACACACUGGAGAUGCUUGCCAGUCUUUUAAACUUCAAGUGUUGACUGAGGGAUUUAAUGGUUUUAAUUAGGACAGAAUGUGAUCAGGCUCCUAUCAGUUUGCUCUUUACUUAGCUUCCUUCCUCCCUAAGACAGUAUUCCACUUCACUCUUCUUUGGUUUAAUCUUCUACUUGAAUACAAGUGUGGUAAAAAAAAAAUGCUGUAAUUGAUAUGAGGAAGUCUUGACAAUGCUGUACUAUUCUAAGUUCAGCCAAGUUGUCUGGUGUACGUAAUAGACAUGCUGGUAAUUGCCUCACCUUGGGCUGACACCUUGCCGUGGUGGUGAAGCUUACAUGUCUCAAGUUUGUGUAAGCCACUGGGAAAUGAGGUAGAUGUGCUGCUCAUAUCAGUGGAGGAAGAGAUGCACUGAUAGAAGGAGCACUUUGAAGGAGUGCUUAACCAUGAGGAGCCACCCAACCCUCCAAAAGUAGAGUCAAGCAACAAACUAAACAUCAGGACAGGUUGUAUUACAUUGCUGAGAUCAGGAACGCUAUGAAAAAGUUAAAGGAGUGGCAGUCCUCCUUGUGUGUCAACUUAAUAGAUUUUGAGAAGGCUUUCGACAACAUCAGCAGAGAGGUGUUGUGGAAGUUGUUGUGCCACUACAGGAUGCCUGUCAAGAUAGUUACCAUAGUCGGAGCUCUUUAUGAGGGUUUUUCUGGGCAGGUGGUACAUAAUGGACGGAAGACCUAACCACUAUGCAUGAGGACUGAGCCAGACAAGGCUGCCUGCUAUCUCUCUUGCCCCAAUUGCAGACCAGGACAGCUUUUGAUAGGAGGCAUGGUAUCCAAUGGUCCUUCACAACAUCUUUAGAAGACCGAUGAUCUGACCCUACUGUUGCACAGAAUGCAGGACACGAAGGAUCAGACACAGGCCUUGGAGGAGCAAGGUGCAAAGUGAAGAUCAUUGUUGCAAAGACAAAGCUGAUGUGUAUCUGUACCAAACGCGGUGAUGGUGUGUGGAUUGAAGAGGAGCAGUUCGAGGAGGUGGACGAAUUCACAUACCUCGGGAGCAUUCUAAGUAACAAGGGUGGUACUGAUGAGGAUAUCCAGACAUGCAUUGGGAAGGCAAGGCAGGCAUUUGCCAUGUUAAGACCAAUAUGGCGGUAUAUGGCACUGACAAUGAAGACAAGUUAAGAGUCUUUGGGUCAAAUCUGAAGGCUGUGCUCCUGAAUGGAUCUGAAACUUGGCAGUUGACCAAGGGAUUGAAGCAGAAGUUGCAAGUAUUCAUCAAUAAGAGCCUGAGGAAUAUCCUGUGCAUUUGGUGGCCAAGACCAAUACAAAAUGAGGAGUUUUAGAGACAACCAGGGUAACGACCUUUAGAGUAGGAGAUUAGACAAAGAGCUUGGGGUUGGGUUAGCCACACACUGAAGAGACCAGAUGGAUACAUAGCCAAGAGGGCCAUAGGGUGGAACCCACAGGGGGAGCACGAGAGAGGGAUACCCAGCACAGCUGGAGGUGCACAAGAAUGGCAGAGUUAGAUGAGAGGCAACUCACAUGGUGGGAAGUGAAACACACUGCUCAAAUUUGGGUCAGGUGGCGGGCACUAGAGGACAACUUAUGGUCCACCCAAGUGGAAUGAAGAGGAUUGACUGAGUGAGUGAGCGCUGGUAAUUGAAUUCUGGUGUAAUACAGGGAUACAUUAUGUCAACUUUACUGCCAAGCACUGCCAUCAACUGACUGUCAUUUUGUACAAACAAAGAGAGCAGAGUAGAGAAAUGUGCUGGACACUUUCUGUUGUUCUGGAGGAUCUAGAUCAUGCAAUAUUCUAUAUCAGCCCAUUCAUGUCAUGAGGUAGGUAAGGUCUUCAUCCAGCUACCAUUUCCAGACUGCCAGGGCUUACUCCAGUUUCAGAGGUUGAAAAUGACUAAGAGUAUUUCAUCUUCCCUGAAUGGGAUGUUAGUAUCCCCCUCUCAUUGUGGCAUGCAGCAAAUUUGUACAUGAGUUAGGGUGAAAAAUUAGGCCUUCAAAUACGUUGCUUCUGGGUGAAUAUGAGAGGACCAUAAGAUAAAAAGGUUUAGGGCCCUAGCCUAUCCCAGGCACACCUGAAGGAGGACCCAGAGACAGAACUCUAAGCUUUAAACCUAGCUGGCCAAGUGACUUCCAGAUGCAACAAGAAUGGAGAGACCUUGUUGUUUCCCUGUGCAAAGCAUAGCAUCCAAAGGAUCAGAAAUGACUGACAAGGACAACAGAAUUUCAAUGGCAAUGCUUGUUGACAUCAUUGUUUUGCACCCCACUUUUACAAUACAGGAGAGAUACUUUGUUUCCUUUAGUCUGACUAGUUCUUGGCCAUCUUUAGGCAGGUAUCCUUUGUUCUCCUUCCAAAGCCACCCUGUUUGUUUCCUUUUUGAAUUUUUCUGCAACUUGUACUCUAUCUGACUGGCUGGUAUAUUCUCAUCUUCCUAAUCCUAACUGCAGAACCCCCAGGAAUGGAGAGACCUUAGGAUUUGUUUCCCUGUGAGCCACUUGAUAAUGGUGAUGAUAAGUCAUGCAUUCCAUGUGUGACUGCGUAAACUUAGAGUUUCAUUCUUCCUGCAUCUUGAUUGCUUCUGUUGUUUGUGUUUCUUUAGCUGUCCAUGUUCCACCAUAGAAUAAACAGCAAGAUUCGUGAUGUUUGUGAUGAUGACAAUGAGGAUAAUGAUAAUGAUCAGACAUACAUGUCACAUGUGGGUGGAUAAAUGUUUUUGCAUCUUGAUUGCUUUUGUUGUAUGAGUUGUCUUCAAGUCGUGAAGCUUCAAUGGCAAUGCUUGCUGAAGUCAUCAUACCUAGGCAGUCAAGGCCACAAUGAUACGUUGGCAUCCACUGCAAUCCUUUGCACAGGUGCUCCAUGUCUCCAUCUCAAGUCAGGUCCUGUUCUUCCUCUGCUGAAAUUUUCUAUAAUUUACACUGCUUGUCUACCUUGUCUAAUACUACUCUCAUCAUCCUAACUGUAGCAAUAGGCAAUUUUCAUUAUGAUGUCAUGCCAUAAGUGAGAAUCCUUAAAGCGUUUGUUUAGCUCACUGGGAUUGGGCUGCUAUUUAUUGUAUUUAUUAGGAAAAAAUCUGAACUCUGGUUGUUUUAGUCAAAUGACAUCAUAGUGCAAACAGCCUAUUGUUUGGUGAUUAUCUUCUUGGCUAGGUCCUGGAUUCCUCUUUUUGUCACAGCAUUAGCAGCUUCCAAGGUACUUGCAGUGAUUCAUUGAUUGGCACUCCUGCUCAUCUGCCAACCGGCUGGCUGCCUUUCCUCUUUUGGUUAGCUCAAUGAUCCUUGUCAGCUAUUAUCAAAGGCUACCUAUCUAGCUGAUAUGAGCUGAGAGUCCUGUCUGGCUUGGGUGUAGCACUCAGCAUAUUGAUGAAUAACAGGCUGGGUGGUCUGUCUUUGAAAUGUCUUUUUUAUGGCAGUGGCUGACUGGAGAAGAACUGGUCAUCAUGAAAUGAAGAGAGCUGAAAAAUAAAACAAGGCAGUUAAUGAAGAACAAAGUGAACAUCAUCCGACUGUAAUAACUGCACUUAUCCUUUGCACAGUUGACACAGUUUUGGUGUGAAUAGGCUUUUUGAUGAACGAUAUAAAAAUUCAUCAUCUUUGGAAA
rnacentral:lncRNA from 1 species